CAAAAUCGGCCUCUGAGCCUUGAAGCUUCGAUUGAAGCCUCCAAGCCUCGAAAUCGAAGCACAAAGCCUUCGAUGAAGGCUCUACGCUUUGAUGCGAGGUAGAGAGGAGCCUUCACCAUCAUUCUUCUUCCUCCUCUUCUCCCCUAGGCUCAGAUUGAAGCCUCUAAGCUUCGAAAUCAACCUCUGAGCCUUGAAGCUUCGAUUGAAGCCUCCGAGCCUCGAAAUCGAAGCAUAAAGCCUUCGAUGAAGGCUCUACGCUUUGAUUCGAGGCAGCGAGGGGCCUUCACCGUCAUUCUUCUUCCUCCUCUUCUCCCGAAGGCUCAGAUUGAAGCCUCCGAGCAUCAAAAUCGGCCUUUGAGCCUUGAAGCUUCGAUUGAAGCCUUUGAGCCUUGAAAUCGAAGCACAAAGCCUUCGAUGAAGGCUCUAUGCUUUGAUUCGAGGAAUAAAGGCUUCGGUUAAAGCCUCUAUACUUCGAUCUCGAAGCUCGGAGUUUUCGUUCGAAGCUCCGUGCCUCGAUUGGAAAGAGGUGACAAAGAAGAACAAGAAAAAAUUAGGGCGUUGACGAUGGCGUGAGAAGAACAGCGACAACAGUGGUAGACGAUGGUGGUGGGUGGCUGUCGGCAGUGACGGUUGUGUCUGCUGGCGAUGUGUGCAGGUGAUGGUGAAUGGUGAAUGGUGAAUGGUGAAAGGUGAAGAGGGGGAUGAAGAUGAGGGCAGAUUCGGGAUUUAGGAUUAUCAACAUAAAACCCAUAGAACAGGCUAGUUCAAUGGAAUUUUGCUCAAAAAUCGGUUGGUUCAAUGGGACUGCCAGUUCAAAUUUGCAAUUUGGGUUUUUAAGCAGACUGGACCGGACAUAGGGUCGAUUUUCGGUCCGAUCGGUCGAAUCGGUCGGUUUGAUCCAACUCUGAUAACAAUGAUCAAAACUACAUAUAUAAAUGUAGAUACAUAAUUUGUUCCUGAAUUAAAUUAAAAUGCUUUUAUUUAUAAGGCACAUUAUGCACAAUCGUCUUUCUAGUAUUUAAAAUAGUAUAUAUAUAUAUAUAUAUAUAUAUAUGUAAACACAUAUGUAUAUUCUAAAAGUAUCAAAAGGCUCCUGCCUUAUCACCUCAGGCCCUCUCUUUCUUCUCUCUUUGCAAAAGCUAAGCCCCCAAUAGUAAAACCCUAGGACCCGACCUUUUUACCGGCACGUCUGGCACGGGCCGAGCGCGUCGGGCAUCGAUACCGCCACCAAUGGAAAGCUGAGGUUGUCCUCUCCCUCCUGGCAAUGGUCUGAAGCGAUCAAGGAGACUGUUUGGUGUGUCUUGCAUUAGCCACAAUCUCAAAGACCAUGUAAACGAGGAAGAAAUCGAGAGAAAUAUUAUUUCCUAUAUUUCGGGAUAUUUUGUAACCUCAGAAUAUGUUUAAAAGGAUAAAUAUCUUUGAAGAAAUAUUAUGAUAUCUUUAGAAUAUAUGUUUCAGAUAUUAUAAAUAGGGUCUUGUACGGCUUGUAAAAUAAGUCUCAAUUGUUGUGAAACCUCGGCCUCUCAGGGGACAUUUGAAAGAGCCUUGUAUCAUGGGGAUAGUGGGGUGGAUCUUCUUGGAGUUCUCUCGGGGAAAUUUCUAUGUAAUACUAGGAUAUUAGAGUAAAAAAGUUGGAGAGAAUUGAAAGAUCGAGUUAGACUCUUCUUGGUGUGAGGUUUGUAACGGGAGAUGGGAUGAGAGUUAUCUCUCAGGGCAGUAAUUUCCGGUUCACUAUUUAGUGAAUUCUCUUACUUUGCGUCGUGGACAUUUUCUCUUUCUUGUUGGAAGGGGUUUUACCACGUAUAUUCAGUGUUCGAUCUUAUUUUCUCUGUUA